rnacentral:rRNA from 1 species
UACAGAGGUGGCGAGCGUUAUUCGGAAUUAUUGGGCGUAAAGGGCGCGUAGGCGGCCCUGUAAGUCAACGGUGAAAUCCCUCGGCUCAACCGAGGACGUGCCGUUGAUACUGCAGGGCUCGAGGCCGGGAGAGGGUAGUGGAAUUCCCAGUGUAGCGGUGAAAUGCGUAGAUAUUGGGAGGAACACCGGUGGCGAAGGCGGCUACCUGGACCGGUUCUGACGCUGAGGCGCGAAAGCGUGGGGAGCAAAC